GUAGUUUGAUCUUGGCUCAGAUUGAACGCUGGCGGCACGCUUAACACAUGCAAGUCGGACGGCAGCACGGGUGCUUGCACCUGGUGGCGAGUGGCGGACGGGUGAGUAAUGCUUAGGGAUCUGGCGGCGAAGCGGGGGACAACACGGGGAAACUCGUGCUAAUACCGCAUAAGCUCUGAGGAGUAAAGAUGGCCUCUUAUUUAUAAGCUAUCGCUUUGCGAUGAACCUAAGUCGGAUUAGCUAGUUGUGGGGUAAAGGCCUACCAAGGCGACGAUCCGUAGCUGGUCUGAGAGGACGAUCA
rnacentral:rRNA from 1 species